rnacentral:rRNA from 1 species
CCUACGGGAGGCAGCAGUGAGGAAUAUUGGUCAAUGGACGAGAGUCUGAACCAGCCAAGUAGCGUGAAGGAUGACUGCCCUAUGGGUUGUAAACUUCUUUUAUAUGGGAAUAAAACGUUCCACGUGUGGGAUUUUGUAUGUACCAUAUGAAUAAGGAUCGGCUAACUCCGUGCCAGCAGCCGCGGUAAUACGGAGGAUCCGAGCGUUAUCCGGAUUUAUUGGGUUUAAAGGGAGCGUAGGUGGAUUGUUAAGUCAGUUGUGAAAGUUUGCGGCUCAACCGUAAAAUUGCAGUUGAAACUGGCAGUCUUGAGUACAGGAGAGGUGGGCGGAAUUCGUGGUGUAGCGGUGAAAUGCUUAGAUAUCGCGAAGAACUCCGAUUGCGAAGGCAGUUCACUGGACUGCAACUGACACUGAGGCUCGAAAGUGUGGGUAUCAAACAGGAUUAGAUACCCCGGUAGUC